rnacentral:miRNA from 1 species
CCGCGGAGCGGAGCCGGCGCCGC